AGAGUUUGAUCCUGGCUCAGGACGAACGCUGGCGGCACGCUUAACACAUGCAAGUCGAACGAGAGAAGAGGAGCUUGCUUUUCUGAUCUAGUGGCGGACGGGUGAGUAACACGUGAGCAAUCUGCCUUUCAGAGGGGGAUACCGAUUGGAAACGAUCGUUAAUACCGCAUAACAUAAUUGAACCGCAUGAUUUGAUUAUCAAAGAUUUAUCGCUGAAAGAUGAGCUCGCGUCUGAUUAGCUAGUUGGUAAGGUAACGGCUUACCAAGGCGACGAUCAGUAGCCGGACUGAGAGGUUGAUCGGCCACAUUGGGACUGAGACACGGCCCAGACUCCUACGGGAGGCAGCAGUGGGGAAUAUUGCACAAUGGAGGAAACUCUGAUGCAGCGAUGCCGCGUGAGGGAAGAAGGUUUUAGGAUUGUAAACCUCUGUCUUCAGGGACGAAAAAAGACGGUACCUGAGGAGGAAGCUCCGGCUAACUACGUGCCAGCAGCCGCGGUAAUACGUAGGGAGCGAGCGUUGUCCGGAAUUACUGGGUGUAAAGGGAGCGUAGGCGGGAUCGCAAGUCAGAUGUGAAAACUAUGGGCUUAACCCAUAAACUGCAUUUGAAACUGUGGUUCUUGAGUGAAGUAGAGGUAAGCGGAAUUCCUAGUGUAGCGGUGAAAUGCGUAGAUAUUAGGAGGAACAUCAGUGGCGAAGGCGGCUUACUGGGCUUUAACUGACGCUGAGGCUCGAAAGCGUGGGGAGCAAACAGGAUUAGAUACCCUGGUAGUCCACGCCGUAAACGAUGAUUACUAGGUGUGGGGGGACUGACCCCUUCCGUGCCGCAGCAAACGCAAUAAGUAAUCCACCUGGGGAGUACGACCGCAAGGUUGAAACUCAAAGGAAUUGACGGGGGCCCGCACAAGCAGUGGAGUAUGUGGAUUAAUUCGAAGCAACGCGAAGAACCUUACCAGGUCUUGACAUCGUAUGCAUAGCUCAGAGAUGAGUGAAAUCUCUUCGGAGACAUAUAGACAGGUGGUGCAUGGUUGUCGUCAGCUCGUGUCGUGAGAUGUUGGGUUAAGUCCCGCAACGAGCGCAACCCUUACUGUUAGUUGCUACGCAAGAGCACUCUAGCAGGACUGCCGUUGACAAAACGGAGGAAGGUGGGGAUGACGUCAAAUCAUCAUGCCCCUUAUGACCUGGGCCUCACACGUACUACAAUGGCUGUCAUCAGAGGGAAGCAAAGCCGCGAGGUGGAGCGAACCCCUAAAAGCAGUCUUAGUUCGGAUUGUAGGCUGCAACCCGCCUACAUGAAGUCGGAAUUGCUAGUAAUCGCAGAUCAGCAUGCUGCGGUGAAUACGUUCCCGGGCCUUGUACACACCGCCCGUCACGCCAUGGGAGUCGGUAACACCCGAAGCCUGUAGUCUAACCGCAAGGAGGACGCAGUCGAAGGUGGGAUUGAUGACUGGGGUGAAGUCGUAACAAGGUA
rnacentral:rRNA from 1 species